CCUACGGGAGGCAGCAGUGGGGAAUAUUGGACAAUGGGUGGAACCCUGAUCCAGCGACGCCGCGUGAGUGAAGAAGUAUUUCGGUAUGUAAAGCUCUAUCAGCAGGGAAGAAAAUGACGGUACCUGACUAAGAAGCCCCGGCUAACUACGUGCCAGCAUCCGAGGUCAUACGUAGGGGGCAAGCGUUUUCCCGAUUUACUGAGUGUAAAGGGAGCGUAGACGGUUCAGCCAGUCGUAUGUGAAAGGUCGGGGCCCAAACCCGGGAAUGCACUGGAAACUGGUGAACUUGAGUACAGGAGAGGUCAGAGGAAUUCCUAGUGUAGCGGUGAAAUGCGUAGAUAUUAGGAGGAACACCAGUGGCGAAGGCGGCUGACUGGACUGUAACUGACGUUGAGGCUCGAAAGCGUGGGGAGCAAACAGGAUUAGAUACCCUAGUAGUC
rnacentral:rRNA from 1 species